rnacentral:sRNA from 1 species
CACACACACACACACACAGAGUCUUAGUUCCAAGCAUUGUGACAAGAGCUAGAACCCUGCUAGAACCUCUUCUUUGUUCCAGAAGAGAUACAGCAGCAUUGUGAGGCCCAGAAGUUUGCAGAUUCUGUGGCUGUGUGGAAAGUCAGUAUGUCCUGGGGCACUACUGAGGCAGAAGCAUUUGGCAAGAAUUCUCCUAAACUGUGCAAA